rnacentral:rRNA from 1 species
GACGAACGCUGGCGGCGUGCCUAAUACAUGCAAGUCGAGCGGACUGAUUAAGAGCUUGCUCUUAUGACGUUAGCGGCGGACGGGUGAGUAACACGUGGGCAACCUGCCCUGUAGAUCGGGAUAACACCGAGAAAUCGGUGCUAAUACCGGGUAAUAUCUGAGAUCACAUGAUCUUAGGUUAAAAGAUGGCUCCGGCUAUCACUACAGGAUGGGCCCGCGGCGCAUUAGCUAGUUGGUAAGGUAAUGGCUUACCAAGGCGACGAUGCGUAGCCGACCUGAGAGGGUGAUCGGCCACACUGGGCCUGAGACCCGGCCCAGACUCCUACGGGAGGCAGCAGUAGGGAAUCUUCCGCAAUGGACGAAAGUCUGACGGAGCAACGCCGCGUGAGUGAUGAAGGGUUUCGGCUCGUAAAGCUCUGUUGUUAGGGAAGAAACAGUACCGAACGAACUAGGUCGGUACCUUGACGGUACCUAACCAGAAAGCCACGGCUAACUACGUG